AUUCCUAAAAAAAAGGAUAGUGGUUCCUGCAGUUUAUUUUGCUUUUAUAUAACGAGUAGCAACACUGAAUCAUUUAUCAUUCUUUUCUGAAAACUGCAACCAUCAAUCAAUCACCUCCAAAGCCAUCAAUUAUGAACAAAGAACAGCCUGCCGGAAACUGUGACAUGCAAAUGAAGUAGGUUAAAAUAGUUAUUUUAUUUGACCUUAAUUUAUUUUUUGUAAUUACUAAAUUUCUGCGAAGUGUAGAAGCUUCAAAAUGGUGCUGAAAUAAUCGACGACGACCAAUUCAGAUUUGACAAGUUACCAUUGUGGUCGAAAAUGCACAAAAUGAUGGAACGUCUGACCUGCAAGUGAAGUUUUCUGAAGAUACCGUUCACAUUGUUAUUCCUGGCCCACACAACUCUGAAAUGGUAUACUUAAUACCUCACUUUUUUAAAUUGUUACAGAUGUUUUUUUAUUAGUUUAUUAUUUUUAACUUACUAAUAAAACUACAAAACAUUAAUGCAAGAAAACUACAAAACAUUAAUGCAAUUCAAUUUGGAGGGGCAGGUAUGCGAGCUAAAAGGUUUGGGUAAUAAUGGUUUAUCUUAAUGUUAUUGUUAUUAUUUGUCCUGUUCUCAUAUGAAGAGCCUGCUGGAAACUUUGACAUGGA